rnacentral:rRNA from 1 species
UACAGAGGGGGCGAGCGUUGUUCGGAAUUACUGGGCGUAAAGGGCGCGUAGGCGGCCUGCUAAGUCGAACGUGAAAUCCCUGGGCUCAACCCAGGAACUGCGUCCGAUACUGGUUGGCUUGAAUCCGGGAGAGGGAUGUGGAAUUCCAGGUGUAGCGGUGAAAUGCGUAGAUAUCGGGGAGGAACAUCAGUGGCGAAGGCGGCUACCUGGCCCAAUACUGACACUCAGGUGCGACA